GCCGGGCAUUGUGGCGGGCGCCUGUGGUCCCAGCUACUUGGGAGGCUGAGGCAGGAGACUCGCUUGAGCCCAGAAGUUGGAGGUUGCUGUGAGCUAUGAUGCUACAGCACUCUACCCAGGGGGACAACUUGAGGCUCUAUCUCAAAAAAAAAAAAAAAAAAAAGAAAGAAAGAGAGUCUCACUUUUGUUGCCCUCAGUAGAGUGCUAUGACAUCACAGCUCACAGCAACCUCAAACUCCUGGACCCAAACUCCUGCC
rnacentral:sRNA from 1 species